AGCGCGCGCGCGCGCGCUGCGACCGUGCAGGCGUCCCGCAAAGUAGGCCCCGCUCCCGAGCGCUUGCUGACUGCACGCCGCGGUGCGUGGUGAAUGCCUUACCUCGCGCGAGCCAGAAGAUACAUCAGUUUCUCUUAACUGACUUUCUGUUCAUAGCACACUUAAACAGCAGUGUUGAUCUCCUUCAGCAGACAUGAAUCCUGUUCUGACAAUGCAGGUAUCCAGUGCUGACAUGUAAACCUGGCAUCACCCUUCUGUUUUUCAAAAGAGGUCUUCAGUGCACAUUCCUAAUAUGCCACAUUCCAGAGCCAAGAGGAAGGGCCGUAUAAAUAAAAUAGCCUUUUAUGGGUUUAAAUCAAAAACAAGGAAGGACUGCCCAAUCUGUUGGUAGCUAAAGCUGCUCUGCUGAGAGCGAGGAUGAAACAGUUGCCUGCAGCGACAGUCCGCCUCCUGUCCAGUUCUCAGAUAAUCACGUCGGUGGUCAGUGUCGUAAAAGAGCUCAUUGAAAACUCCUUGGAUGCUGGAGCCACCAGCGUGGAAGUUAAACUGGAGAACUAUGGGUUUGACAAAAUCGAGGUUCGGGACAAUGGUGAGGGCAUCAAGGCUGUGGAUGUACCUGUGAUGGCAGUGAAGUACUACACCUCAAAGAUAAACAGUCACGAAGACCUGGAGAAUCUGACAACCUAUGGUUUUCGAGGUGAAGCCUUGGGGUCAAUUUGUAAUGUUGCAGAGGUGGUAGUCACAACAAGGACAGCUGCUGAUGACUUUAGCACCCAGUAUGUUUUAGAUGGCAGCGGCCACAUACUUUCUCAGAAGCCUUCACAUCUUGGUCAGGGUACUACUGUAACUGCUCUAAAGUUGUUUAAGAAUCUCCCUGUAAGAAAGCAAUUUUACUCAACUGCUAAAAAGUGUAAAGAUGAGCUAAAAAAUGUACAGGAUCUCCUCAUAAGCUACGGUGUCCUUAAACCUGGCACAAGGAUUGUUUUUGUACAUAAUAAGGCAGUUAUUUGGCAGAAAAGUAGAGUACCAGAUCACAGGAUGGCUCUCAUGUCGGUUCUGGGAACUGCUGUGAUGGGCAACAUGAUGUCUGUUCAGCACCACUGUGAAGAAUCUCAGAUUUACCUAAGUGGAUUCUUUCCAAAGCUUGAUGCAGACCACAGUUCCACAAGUCUUUCAACCCCAGAGAGAAGUUUCAUCUUUAUUAAUAGUCGACCAGUACAUCAGAAAGAUGUAUUAAAGCUAAUUCGAUGUUAUUAUAAUCUGAAGUGCCUAAAGGAAUCUACUCGGUUGUAUCCCAUUUUCUUUCUGAAAAUUGAUGUUCCUUCAGCUGAGCUGGAUGUAAAUCUAACACCAGAUAAAAGUCAAGUAUUAUUACAGAAUAAGGAAUCUGUUUUAAUUGCUCUUGAAAAUCUGAUGAUGACCUGUUAUGGACCACUACUAAGUACAGAGUCUUGUGAAAAUAACAAAGUAGAUGUUUCCUCAGCCAACAUGGCCGCUUGUGAAACAGCAGAAACAGAUGUGCUCUUAAAUAAAAUGGAAUCAUCAGGAAAUAAUUAUCCAAAUGCUGACACUUCAGCUGUUCACUUCCAAAAUGAUGAAUCUAGAAAAGACAGUAAUCAUUAUUCAAAUCAACAGAUAAAUGUAAAUGACCACUGUGGCGGUCAUUUUAGUAGUGAGCACUCUGGCAUUAAUAAGGAUACUAGAAGUACAUUUCAAAAUAUCCCCAUGAAUAAUUUAUCAUCAGAGGAUGUCCAGAGUAAAUAUAGUAAGACUAACCUUGCAGGUUCCAAUGAGCAUAUCCAAGGAGAAAAUGGCAGGAACAGGACAGAAGAACGUGGGGGAGACGGGGGAGAAGCAUUUCCUGAGAAAUCUCUGGAGAUCUGUUCAGAUGACUGGAGCAAGGGAAAUGUGUUUAAUGCGAUGGGAGAGAAUAUAGAACCUGUGAAAAUUUUAGUGCCACAGGAAAGUUUAGCAUGUAAAGUUAGCAAUGAUAGUCACCCAGCCCUUAGCCCAAAGGAUCUCAGUGAUGGUCCUUGUAGCAAAACAUCCAAUGUGAUAGAUAACAAGUCUGGACAGCUUACAGCCUAUGACUUAAUUAGCAACCGAGCAGUCAGGAAGCCCAUGUCAGCAAGUGCCCUGUUUAUUCAAGACCAUCGCACUCAGUUCCUCGCAGAAAAUCCCAAGACAGGUUUGGAGGCUGCAACAGCUCAAGCUGAGGCACUGUGGGAGACACUGAGUGAAGACGAAAAACUCAAGGCCAGAGGUCCUUGGACCAUGAUCUACUGGAUCAGGGCGCUUGCACCGUGAUCCAUCCACUGGAUCAGGCCUGUUCGUUCUCCCGGAGCUUUCUUUCUAUAAUCCUCAGUUCUGCAAAGAAUAGAAAGUGACCCAAGAGGAGACCUGGGAGUGCAGCUGAGUGGCAGAGCACCGCCUGCCUUCUGUGGAUAUAGUUCAUGUCCACACCCCUCUCUCAGUGCUGGGCCCUAUCUGCCUUGAACCUGUGCGGGCCCUGUACAUGUUCCACAGUCUCUGAAUUCAGAUCUGAAUCAUUCCUGUUGUCUGGAAGACACUGCUUUCCUGGAGUCCUCCAUCCCCUCUGCCUCUGACAAUCGUCAGGUCUCCUUGUCUGCACGGAGGACUGAGUCCUCCACAGUCUCGCUGUGAGCGUUGUUCAUCGUCGGCCUCUGUUCGGUGCCUUCUACAUAGAACUGUAGAAGUCUUCAUCAUAGAACUGAUGCGUUUAAGGAAAGGGAAAUAUGGAGAGUUGGGAGAAGACUUAGCAGUUGUCCCAUGUAUGGGACAGAAAAUGGCUUCCUUGUAUAAAACUAACUGGGAAGGUUUCUGGGAGUUGUCACAGGAGAAGGCACACAGUGCUGCUGAGGAAGUGAAGAGACCCUGGCACAGGUGAGGAUGUGCUGAAGAGAGACAGGACUGGCCAGAGUUUCAGCGUCUGCUGGGAAGGUAGGGUGGACUCGGGCUAGGGAUGCUUAGGUCUCUUCUGAUUUUUUUGUCCUCUUCUUUUCCUUACCCUCCUCUGGUGGGUUAGAAUCCAGGUGUGAACUAUGUACCUCCCCUGCCACUCAGGGGAGAAGGGUCCUUCAGUCAGUAGGUCUUAAUUUGAGCUUUCAUUUGCAAUAUAUAAGUAUAUUCCUACUUAAAAUAACUAAGUGAUGUAGCAAUUUGGAUGUUACUGGAAAUGAUAAAUAAACUUUAUAAUUCAAUGUAGCCUUUAGUCUCAGAAACAUCAUUUAACCUGACUGUUUAGUCAAGUCAGUGGGGAUACUUUCCAUUCAAGCUGCUAAGUCCCUUAAUGGUAUUAAAUACAGAGGUAGCAUCUGCUCUUACUUAACAUUUACCUCGUAUUAUUUUGGACAUAACUUUUUAUGUUUCCCAAGGAACUAAUUAAAUAGACUUCUUGAAUAAAUCAAAAGAUUAGUACCAUAUGCAAAAAUUUGCACAUUAUAAUUAAUUACAAAUGGUGACCUUUAUCUUGAACUCAUUUUCCACCCCAUAGGAAAGUCUGGAGUUCUGAUGUCUAAGAGCUAAAAAUAGACUUAUUUCUAGUGCCUGUGAAAGUAAACUAUUAAAGAUCAUGUGUUUUGUGUAACUAACCCAUAUGUUCAUGUUCUAGGUAUAAUUGUAAAAAAAUAACUUUGAAAAGUAUGAAUAUGAGAAGUAAAUGAUUAAUUGUUCACCCAGUUUGCAAUGAAACAGACAUUUUUUGCAAUCUUAUCCAAUUAACAUCUAGCAUUUCUUUAUUCAGAAACAUGUGGCUAUAAACUGCACACUAUGUUUUAGUCUGUUGUUUCUUGGCCUCACUUUAUAACAUACAUACAAGAAACAUUCUGUAGAGUCUAAACCAGCUUCUUACAGGACCAGAAAUAACCGUAGUUCUCUAGGCCCAAGUUUAAAACUUGUCAACUUUUGGUCAGAUGUCUCAUUCCAGCUGUAGUAUUUGUGUUUCUUUUUGUUCUCGUGUUUGUUGUGUUGGGGAUUGAACCUGGCCUUGUGUAUGCUAAGCAUGGACUCUGCCACGAGUGCAGCCCCAGCCAGCACAUAGGCUUCCUGACCGCAACUUAGAGUAAGCCUCGCCUUUUACAGUGUGCCAAGCAACUCACUGCUGUUACAGAGCUAGGCAGUGGAUGUACGCUGCCCACAUACUAUAAAUGAGUACCCUGAGGGGCAGAACAAAGUACUUGGCACUAAGUUUACGUGGUUUCUAGGCAGCAGGAAUAUGCCAAGCAGGACACCAGGCUCUCUGGGGUCCAUUGGGCACUGCUCCCUGAGGUGAACAAGGAGCAGUUAAUUCUCAUGUGACAGAAUCCGUGUGGAGUGCUCAAGUAGAGCCAUCCAGUGUCAGCCAGGCCUGAGCGUGGAAGCCAGGCACCUCAGUUCCUCACAGUGUGCAUGGCACUGCCACUGUGGUGGACUGCCUUUGGCUCUAGAAGCUUCCUUUAACUCCUUUUAUAACUGAGAAAAGAAGAAAGCCCUCUCUAACUGUUGUACCCGCUAUAAAUUUGAAAUACCCAUCGUUUACACUGUUGAAGUUGAGUUACAUAGUUUAGAUAUGUUGGAUUUACUGGAAUUUAUGUAUCACCUGAUGACUUUAAGUGAGAAUAAAACAAUUAACAUUAACUGAUGGAUUAAAUGGUGUGCUUUUUACUCCGUCUGCUAUUUUAAUGACUUUAUUGUGUAGUCUUUUUAUUAUUUAUUUGAUUUUAGAAUGAAAUUGCUCUAUAGAAUAAUCUGGUCUUGAACUUGUGAUUCUCCUUCAUCCACCUUCCAAGUGCCUGGACUGUGGGCAUAUGCUGCCAUGUCUGGCUCCCCAACACUUUCUUAAAUCAUUCUUUAAACUGGUAACAUUUACCUACAGUGGAAUGCAAAGAUCUUAGCAGUAUAGUUCAGCACAUUUUUGGAAAUACACACAUCUACCACAAUGAAAACAUGCAUUGCCCUCAUCCCAACUACCUCCACUUUUUUUUUUAUUUCUGUUAUAUUACCUUGGUUUUACCAGUAUUUAAACUUUAAAUAACUAUUUGACAUCUCUGACUUUUCAACAAUAUUUCCAUGACAUCAUUUUUAAGUGGUAAUGUCUAGUUUUAUAAGAGUAAUAAGGUUUGUUAAUUCAACCUCUAAUUGUUGGACACUGAGGCUAGUGUGAAUGCUACUAUGUUGGUUAGUUUUCAGAUAUUUGAGGCUUUUAAAAAUAAACUUGGUUUCCAGUUUAACAUGAACAGAAAGUUAGAUUUCACUCACCUUUUGCCAUGUCUGGCUCAUCAUAUUUCCUGUCCUGGUUAAUGUUCUGUGUUCACAGAUAAAGCAGCAGAGUUUCUGCCAAUCAUUUAAGUUGAAGUGGUUAGCAAUGUUGCUCAGAUUUGUCAUUUCACUGACAUCUUGUAGUCUGUUUAUGCCACUGAUCAGAAGAAGAAAGGCACACACAUUUGCGUGUUAGGCUCCUUAGUGGCCCCUUCAACUCCAAUAACUUGGCAUUUCGAUCUGCUUCAUCUAAUGUUGUCAGUCUCUCCUUUUCUUACUCUUUCUGUUUGUAUAGUGUAUGCAUUUUUCAUUCUAUGCUACCUGUGUUAUUUAUUAUAAAAGUGUGACUGUUAAAAGCCCAUAAAGCUAGGAAUCCUGUCCUUUAGUUAGAUUUAAUAUAAUAAUGGACGUUGUUGGCAUUAGAUCUGCCCUGCCCCCUGUUGCCUGUUCCUGUCUUCCUCAGAGAGGUUGCAGAGGUAUUCAGGGUUUGAGUGAAUACAUUUUAACAUCUAAUUUAUACUCCUGCUUACUUUGCUUAAUACAUCAUGCAUCCUUUUAUGAUGCUUCAGUUAAAGUUAAUACCACACAGUCUCACAUAAACCUAAAAGCCCACAGAUGUAUUGAUUCAUGCUUAUGUUAUUAUUCUCUUAAGAGUGCAGUUACGUUAGCAGAAAACUUAUUUUAUCUGAAGGUAUUUGUUCAGUCUUCCCUGUGAAGGACAUUUGUGGUUGGUAGAUGUGAAGCUGCACAUUCAGCCAGCGUUGCACUGUCCUCUUGGUUUCCUUCUGGCUGACUGAUUUGGGGAAUUCACCUUUGGUUUUCACCAGCUUGCUUCUGGUGUAUCGGGCAGGCUUUGUUUGCAUUUAACCUGCCUGGACUUGAGUUUCGUAGGUUGUUGACUUGUCAUUAAGUGUAGUUUUUUUUUUUUUAAUUGACACUUCAGGUAUUGGGAUGCUUAUGCAUGAGCCCCAGGCUGCUUCAGCGAUCAUAGGCCCCUUUCUUUCUACUCACAGUGGUCAUUUCUGUAGCUCUUCCCUCAGGUUCACUGGCCCGUCUGUCGUUUCUAUUUCUGCUCUGUAGAAUGUUCCAUCCAGAUACUGUUUUUAGUUCUGUGCUUUUCACAUCUUUCCAUGUGCACAUGUAAAUUCUGCUUUCCCCUUCAGACCCUCCUAUUCCCUGUUUUUCUCUAUUGCUCAUCCCAGACUCCCAAAACAUGUAUACAAAACUUCUUAUUUAUUAUAAAUCUGAGUCACUUUGAAGGUGGCUUUUCCUGACCUCUCCUCUCCUUGGCCAUGACUCACAUUUUUCUGUUUUACUUCUUGGGUGGUUACUUAAUUGUGCAGUUGCCAUUAUGGGUAAUGCCUGUUCACUUCAGAUGUCUUUGAGCUUGUGGGAUUUUGUUUUGCAUUGAAGGAUGAUGAGAUUCACUCAGUUCUAGGGGGUAGAGUGUUUCCUCCUAUGAUAUGCCCCUCUUCUAGUUUUAAUUGAAAGCCCAAUGUGUUUACAAAGCCCCACAUGUAACUCAGACACCAGACUCUGUUUCCCCUGCACUGGAAGCAGCUGGAAACUCUGUUCAGCUCAUUAGCCUUUUAAUGUUUCCUGAGGGCUCCCACACAUGGGAUUUUCUCUCAAUUUCAAGUACUGGAAGCAAGGAUCUGUGUUCUGAUGACGCAGGCUAGUUGGUGUUGUCUUCUAGCUAAGUUCCUGAUGCUCCCACCAUCUAAUGCUGGAUAAGAGCUCCGUAAAUGCAAAUGCAAGUCCUUCUCAUUUGCUUUUGACUGCUUUUGAGAAGCCAGUUUCUGUGUUCUGUUUGGGGUUUAUCUUAAGCACACACAAGAGGGUCGCUCUAAUACACAUUUCCUUGUCAUUAUUGAAUAACAGCUCAUCCAUUAUUCUUAGUAAAAUUUACUUCAGAUGAUUAUUAUGUUUUUAUUAUGAGCUCAUUAGUCCUGUUUUCUCUCUG